AUGAUUGAGCUGCUGUCCCUUGCAUUGUGCUAUCACGAAAACCAAAGCCUCUUCCACAGGAAACCUGCCACAUUGUUUGUGCCAUCAGUGUUGACCUUCUGGAAAUUUGCAGGUUUGUUUGACCAUCUCUCCGUAAAAAGAAGAGAUACCAUUGCAAGGCUGAGAGCAGGUGACAUGUUACAAAUUGGAAUGGUUUCCUACCUGACAUUCCUACAGCCGGAAAGAGUAAUUCUGAUCUGCUACAUUUUAGCCAAUCGCCAACUUAAGCCAUCAUAUUUACAGUUAAGAAAUGCAUGGCGGCCAUCAUCAUUGAACCAGUGGCAAAGGUAA
rnacentral:rRNA from 1 species